rnacentral:misc_RNA from 1 species
UUAACAAAUUUUGCUUUUCGCUCAGACUGCAAACUUCAGACAGUGUUCACAGGUGUCUUCGGCGGGCGCGGGCCCGGGGGCGGAUGCCCCCCGGCGGCCGUGAGGCGGGCCCGCCGAAGCAACAAGGUUCGUUAAACACGGGUGGGAGGUUGGACCCAGAGGGCCCUCACUCGGUAAUGAUCCUUCCGCAGGUUCACCUACGGAAA